rnacentral:rRNA from 1 species
UCCAGUUGAUCCUGCUGGAGGCCGCUGCUAUUGGGAUUCGAUUAAGCCAUGCAAGUUCUGGGGUCGCAAGACACCGGCAUACUGCUCAGUAACACGUCGAUAAUCUGCCCUUGAGUCUGGGAUAACCUUGGGAAACUGAGGCUAAGACUAGAUGGGGGAAUUCUACUGUAAUGUGUUUUCCCCGAAAGGUAACGCUCAAGGAUGAGUUGGCGGCGGAUUAGCUUGUUGGUGGGGUAAUGGCCCACCAAGGCGAUGAUCCGUAGGGGCCUUGGAAGAGGUAGCCCCGAGAAGGGCACUGAGAUACUGGCCCUAGCCCUACGGGGUGCAGCAGGCGCGAAACCUUUACACUGCACGAAAGUGUGAUAAGGGAAUCCCAAGUGCCUAUACAUUGUAUAGGCUUUUUUUUCAAGGGUAAAGACCUUGGAGAAUAAGUGGAGGGUAAGACUGGUGCCAGCAGCCGCGGUAAUACCAGCUCCACGAGUGGGGGCCAUGGUUAUUGGGCCUAAAGCGUUCGUAGCAGGUCAUGUAAAUCUUUUGUGAAAUCGUUGGGCUUAACCUAACGGCGUGCAGAAGACACUGCGUGACUAGAGACCGGGAGGGGUCAGAGGAAUUCUGGGGGGAGUGGUAAAAUGCUAUAAUCCCCGGAAGACCACCUGUGGCGAAGGCGUCUGACCAGAACGGGUCUGACUGUGAGGAACGAAAGCCAGGGGAGCAAACCGGAUUAGAUACCCGAGUAGUCCUGGCUGUAAACGCUGCGAGCAAGGUGUUGCAUAUUCUUAUGUGGAUAUGCAGUGUCGAAGAGAAGUCGUUAAGCUCGCCGCCUGGGAAGUACGGUCGCAAGACUGAAACUUAAAGGAAUUGGCGGGGGAGCACUACAAGGGGUGCGGCGUGCGGUUUAAUUGAACUCAACACCGGGAAUCUCACCAGGAGCGACGGCAGAAUGAAAGUCAGUCUAAAGGGCUUACUUAACAAGCCGAGAGGUGGUGCAUGGUCGUCGUCAGCUCGUGCUGUAAGGUGUCCUGUUAAGUCAGGCAACGAGCGAGACCUGCAUCUACAAUUGCUACCAGCUCUUCACAGAGGACUGAGCACAUUGUAGAGACUGCAUUGGAAACAAUGAGGAAGGUGCAGGCUACGAUAGAUCUGUAUGCCCCGAAUCCCCUGGGCUACACGCGCGCAACAAUGGUAGGGACAAUGGGAUGCAACUCCGAAAGGAGAAGCUAAACCUCGAAACCCUAUCUAAGUCCAGAUCGAGGGCUGCAACUCGCCCUCGUGACGUCGGAAUCCCUAGUAAUCGGACGUCAUCAGCGUCCGGUGAAUACGUCCCUGCUCCUUGCACACACCGCCCGUCAAGCCACCCGAGCAGGGUUCAAGUGAGGCCUGGCCUAUUAGCCAUGUCGAACUUGGGCUCAGUGAGGAGGGCUAAGUCGUCACAAGGUA